AUUGAACGCUGGCGGCAGGCCUAACACAUGCAAGUCGAGCGGAUGAAGGGAGCUUGCUCCUGGAUUCAGCGGCGGACGGGUGAGUAAUGCCUAGGAAUCUGCCUGGUAGUGGGGGAUAACGUCCGGAAACGGGCGCUAAUACCGCAUACGUCCUGAGGGAGAAAGUGGGGGAUCUUCGGACCUCACGCUAUCAGAUGAGCCUAGGUCGGAUUAGAUAGUUGGUGGGGUAAAGGCCUACCAAGGCGACGAUCCGUAACUGGUCUGAGAGGAGGAUAAGUCACAUUGGAAGUUGGACAGGGUCAAGAGUCCUGAGGUACGCACCAGUCGGGAAUGGUGGGCAAUGGGCGGGAGUCUGGUCCAGCGAUGGGGAGUCUGUGGAGGAGGCCUUCCGAGCGUGAAGACCGUUUAGUUGGGGGAAAGCGCUGUAACUUAAUACCUUGCUGGUUUGACGGUACCGAGAGAAGAAGCACCGGCUAACUACGUG
rnacentral:rRNA from 1 species